rnacentral:rRNA from 1 species
CCUACGGGAGGCAGCAGUGGGGAAUAUUGGACAAUGGGCGAAAGCCUGAUCCAGCCAUGCCGCAUGUGUGAAGAAGGCCUUCGGGUUGUAAAGCACUUUCAGUGGGGAAGAAAGCCUUGGGGCUAAUACCCUCGAGGAAGGACAUCACCCACAGAAGAAGCACCGGCUAACUCCGUGCCAGCAGCCGCGGUAAUACGGAGGGUGCGAGCGUUAAUCGGAAUUACUGGGCGUAAAGCGCGCGUAGGCGGUCUGAUAAGCCGGUUGUGAAAGCCCCGGGCUCAACCUGGGAACGGCAUCCGGAACUGUCAGGCUAGAGUGCAGGAGAGGAAGGUAGAAUUCCCGGUGUAGCGGUGAAAUGCGUAGAGAUCGGGAGGAAUACCAGUGGCGAAGGCGGCCUUCUGGACUGACACUGACGCUGAGGUGCGAAAGCGUGGGUAGCAAACAGGAUUAGAUACCCCUGUAGUC